rnacentral:rRNA from 1 species
AUUGAACGCUGGCGGCAUGCCUUACACAUGCAAGUCGAACGGUAACAGGUCUUCGGAUGCUGACGAGUGGCGAACGGGUGAGUAAUACAUCGGAACGUGCCUAGUAGUGGGGGAUAACUACUCGAAAGAGUGGCUAAUACCGCAUGAGAUCUACGGAUGAAAGCAGGGGAUCGCAAGACCUUGUGCUACUAGAGCGGCCGAGGGCAGAUUAGGUAGUUGGUGGGAUAAAAGCUUACCAAGCCGACGAUCUGGAGCUGGUCUGAGAGGCCGAUCAGCCACACUGGGACUGAGACACGGCCCAGACUCCUACGGGAGGCAGCAGUGGGGAAUUUUGGACAAUGGGCGAAAGCCUGAUCCAGCAAUGCCGCGUGCAGGAUGAAGGCCUUCGGGUUGUAAACUGCUUUUGUACGGAACGAAAAGCCCCGGGUUAAUACCCUGGGGUCAUGACGGUACCGUAAGAAUAAGCACCGGCUAACUACGUGCCAGCCGCCGCAGUAA